rnacentral:rRNA from 1 species
CAGCGGCCCUAGUGGUGAUCGUUAUUAUUGGGCCUAAAGCAUCCGUAGCCGGCGCUGUAAGUUUUCGGUUAAAUCUGUACGCUCAACGUACAGGCUGCCGGGAAUACUGCAGCGCUAGGGAGUGGGAGAGGUAGACGGUACUCGGUAGGAAGGGGUAAAAUCCUUUGAUCUAUUGAUGACCACCUGUGGCGAAGGCGGUCUACCAGAACACGUCCGACGGUGAGGGAUGAAAGCUGGGGGAGCAAACCGGAUUAGAUACCCGCGUAGUCC